CGAAGCCUUUUGGCCGAGGGCACGCCUGCCUGGGCGUCAC
rnacentral:rRNA from 1 species